GACGAACGCUGGCGGCGCGCUUAACACAUGCAAGUCGAACGGAAAGGCCUGCUUUCCCUUGUGGAUUGCGGGUACUCGAGUGGCGAACGGGUGAGUAACACGUGCGUGAUUUGCCCCCAACUUGGGUAUAAGCCUGGGAAACUGGGUCUAAUUCUCGAUAGGACUGCAGGGUGGUGCCUGUGGUGGAAAACGUUUUUCUAGUGGUUGGGGAUGGGCUCGCGGCCUAUCAGCUUGUUGGUGGGGUAAUGGCCUACCAAGGCGGCGACGGGUAGCCGGCCUGAGAGGGUGGACGGCCACAGUGGGACUGAGAUACGGCCCAGACUCCUACGGGAGGCAGCAGUGGGGGAUAUUGCACAAUGGGCGGAAGCCUGAUGCAGCGACGCCGCGUGGGGGAUGACGGCCUUCGGGUUGUAAACUCCUUUCGACCGCGAGGAAGCCACCUGUGUGUAAUGGUGGUGACGGUAGUGGUAGAAGAAGCACCGGCUAACUACGUG
rnacentral:rRNA from 1 species